rnacentral:rRNA from 1 species
UGGGGAAUAUUGGACAAUGGGGGGAACCCUGAUCCAGCUAUGCCGCGUGUGUGAAGAAGGCCUUAUGGUUGUAAAGCACUUUAAGCGAGGAGGAGGGUACUGGUAUUAAUACUACCAGCUACUGGACGUUACUCGCAGAAUAAGCACCGGCUAACUCUGUGCCAGCAGCCGCGGUAAUACAGAGGGUGCGAGCGUUAAUCGGAUUUACUGGGCGUAAAGCGUGCGUAGGCGGCUAAUUGAGUCGGAUGUGAAAUCCCCGAGCUUAACUUGGGAAUUGCAUUCGAUACUGGUUAGCUAGAGUGUGGGAGAGGAUGGUAGAAUUCCAGGUGUAGCGGUGAAAUGCGUAGAGAUCUGGAGGAAUACCGAUGGCGAAGGCAGCCAUCUGGCCUAACACUGACGCUGAGGUACGAAAGCAUGGGGAGCAAACAGG